rnacentral:rRNA from 1 species
CACGGGGGUUGCGAGCGUUGUCCGGAAUUACUGGGCGUAAAGGGCAGGCAGGCGGAUCCAUAAGUUUAUCGUUUAAGGCGUCAGCUUAACCGGCGUAGGGCGGUAGAUACUGUGGAUCUGGAAUGCGGUUGGGGAAGACAGAAUUCCUGGUGUAGCGGUGGAAUGCGCAGAGAUCAGGAGGAAUACCGAAGGCGAAGGCAGUCUUCCAAGCCGUUAUUGACGCUCAACUGCGAAGGUGUGGGUAUCAAACAGGAUUAGAUACCCGGGUAGUCCCUGAG